AACGAGGCCCGAUCUAGUUGAAAAUUACGAAAACGGAAUGAUAAAAAAUUUUAAUUCUUUGAAAUAUAUUCGUAUGUUUUAUGCUUAGAAAAAUUAGAGUGCAAUUUUGUUACCUUGCCUUUAUUGAAGUCAAAUGGGGGCACUGUCAAGAUAUGGACCAUUUGUCGUGUUUUUAUACACAAUUACAUACUAAAACUAUUUAAUAAACAAAGAAAUUUACAAAUUUAAAAAAAAAUACGUGAUGAAAUUCUUUGUUUUUCACAUAUAUCGUGCAAUUCUCAUUCUUCUUAUAAAAAAUGAAAAGAAAAUUGGAGGUAGCCUUUAUUGCAGUGAAAAGGGGGCAUGUCUAAACACAAAAUUUGGAUUUAUUCUAUCCAACUACGUAUUUUAUAGGUCGCAGUGGGUUUACAUAACACCAACAAACGAUUGCAAUACUGUUUUAGUUUCUAAAAAUAAAAAAAUUCUUACAUUAUGAAAUAAUUUUCUCGCCAUGCUUUAUUUUUCUCUUAACACGCGACUUUGUUUUACGUGGAAAAAAGGGGUAGAGGGAGGAGGGGGGAGGGGGGUGGGUAAAGGCGAAAAAAUUACGAUUUUUACUAAUAUCAUGUAAUAUAUAGAAAAAUAAAAUAUUUCGGGGGUUGCAUUGAAAUGAUUUAGAGACUUAUUUUAUUUUUUUAAACUGAAGAUAAUCCAUGCAUAUUUAAGUCCGCAAUAAAAAAAAAGUGUGUUAUAAACACUUCAACAUGUUCAAAGGGAAAGACUAAAAUCGUUUACUUUUGGUUGCAGUGUUUGUUUUUUUUAAACUCACAAAUUGAAAUCAAACAAGAUAAAUUAAAGAAUUUGUACCAAAAAAAUCGAUCCCUCAAAUUUAUUAGGUUCCAAAGUUGUUUAUUAAUUUAAAUAUUUAAAAAAAUUAAUAGAAAUGUCAACUUUCAAUGCACAGUCUAUAGAAUAACCAGGUAAGCAAGAUCAGCGAAACAUUUUAGCGCAAUAUGACGUCAUUUUAAUUGUGACGUUAUUGUGUUCAAAUGUGACGGCAGUAAUGGGUAUUGUGACGUGCCUGCAUGAGUCGACGCUGCGUUAAUUAAAACGUAUGCGCAGAUCAAGUAGAUCGGGCCUCGUUAA